rnacentral:rRNA from 1 species
GACGAACGCUGGCGGCGUGCUUAACACAUGCAAGUCGAACGAAGAAAGGGGAGCUUGCCCCUCUGGAUUAGUGGCGAACGGGUGAGUAACACGUGAGCAAACUGCCCCUGACUCCGGAAUAACUACUGGAAACUGUAGCUAAUACCGGAUAUGCGCCGAACAGGCAUCUGGAUCGGUGGUGAAGAACUGCGGUCAGGGAUAGUCUCGCGGCCUAUCAGCUUGUUGGUCAAGUAACGGCGCACCAAGUCGACGACGGGUAGGCGGCCUGAGAGGUGGACCGGCCACAUUGGGACUGAGACACGGCGCAGACGCCUACGGGCGGCAGCAGUGGGGAGUAUUGCACAAUGGGCGCAAGCCUGAUGCAGCAACGCCGCGUGAGGGAUGACGGCCUUCGGGUUGUAAACCUCUUUUAGCAGGGAAGAAGCGAAAGUGACGGUACCUGCAGAAAAAGCGCCGGCUAACUACGUG